rnacentral:rRNA from 1 species
GUGAGGGACGACGGCCUUCGGGUUGUAAACCUCUUUUAGCAGGGAAGAAGCGAAAGUGACGGUACCUGCAGAAAAAGCGCCGGCUAACUACGUGCCAGCAGCCGCGGUAAUACGUAGGGCGCAAGCGUUAUCCGGAAUUAUUGGGCGUAAAGAGCUCGUAGGCGGUUUGUCGCGUCUGCUGUGAAAUCCGGAGGCUCAACCUCCGGCCUGCAGUGGGUACGGGCAGACUAGAGUGCGGUAGGGGAGAUUGGAAUUCCUGGUGUAGCGGUGGAAUGCGCAGAUAUCAGGAGGAACACCGAUGGCGAAGGCAGAUCUCUGGGCCGUAACUGACGCUGAGGAGCGAAAGGGUGGGGAGCAAACAGGCUUAGAUACCCUGGUAGUCCACCCCGUAAACGUUGGGAACUAGUUGUGGGGUCCAUUCCACGGAUUCCGUGACGCAGCUAACGCAUUAAGUUCCCCGCCUGGGGAGUACGGCCGCAAGGCUAAAACUCAAAGGAAUUGACGGGGACCCGCACAAGCGGCGGAGCAUGCGGAUUAAUUCGAUGCAACGCGAAGAACCUUACCAAGGCUUGACAUAUACGAGAACGGGCCAGAAAUGGUCAACUCUUUGGACACUCGUAAACAGGUGGUGCAUGGUUGUCGUCAGCUCGUGUCGUGAGAUGUUGGGUUAAGUCCCGCAACGAGCGCAACCCUCGUUCUAUGUUGCCAGCACGUAAUGGUGGGAACUCAUGGGAUACUGCCGGGGUCAACUCGGAGGAAGGUGGGGAUGACGUCAAAUCAUCAUGCCCCUUAUGUCUUGGGCUUCACGCAUGCUACAAUGGCCGGUACAAAGGGCUGCAAUACCGCGAGGUGGAGCGAAUCCCAAAAAGCCGGUCCCAGUUCGGAUUGAGGUCUGCAACUCGACCUCAUGAAGUCGGAGUCGCUAGUAAUCGCAGAUCAGCAACGCUGCGGUGAAUACGUUCCCGGGUCUUGUACACACCGCCCGUCAAGUCAUGAAAGUCGGUAACACCUGAAGCCGGUGGCCUAACCUUUUGGA